rnacentral:lncRNA from 1 species
AGAACUGCAGAUAGUACAGCUUCCACAGGAGCAAGGGAUGUCUGAGCACAAGUGGCUGAGUUCCGAGUGACUUUAUGAAGCACUUUCUACCUUCCUCUCCGGCAUGAAAACAGGGAUUCUGCACCUGCAUCAUGGACAGUCUGGCAAAAGCCUCUGCUCUGCCUCCGGGGACAAGAAACUAGAGCAAAUAACCGUUUUGAAAUUAGAUCCUGGCAAAAUUACCAACAAUCAAUGAUGGAAACUGAAGGGAGAUUGAUUUAAAUCUUCAAUGACAGUUGUACAGAAGUUGAAGAAACACGUCAUCUUUCCAAAGAAGAGUGAGUAGCUUGGUUGGUGGUACCCUAAAAUUAGGGCAUGAUUAAGGUACGUCAUUUCUUUUAGUUCAAUCAAAGUGCUUUGCUGUUUCCAUUUCAGAGAAUUUCUUAUUCUUUUUUUCAAUUUCUCUCUCUUCCUCUUCUUCCUCUCAUUAGUAGAUGUCUUUUAUAAUUGAUGUCAUUUACUGUCCUUUCAUCAAAUGUAUGCCACAUCACUUAGGCGAACCAGCAGACAGGGCACCAAAAUACACAUUAGAGGAGACUGGCUUCCAUGAGACGCUUCGACUGUCUCAUCGGGGCACUUGUAAUAAGCAUCUUGGUGCCACUGAAUGCAAUGCUGUAUUCAAAUAAUAGCUUUCAUCUUCACUCUUUUUAAAUAUAAAAGUAAACCUUGAAGCCCUUUGAAGGACCUAACCAAACAACAUACCUAUGAAAAUAGAUCAGUAAGGCUUUGAGAAACAUUCUUAAGUAAAAUCUGUAAAGCAUCUUUGCAUUUUUUUUCAAGAAAGACCUCCAGGUAAAUGAUGGCUUUUAAUAAGACACAUGACAAUCUCAAUUACAAGAAUCAUUAGUGUGUGUCCUGUGCGCCAUUUUAUGUUCCCAGCAGGAUAUAUCUUUUCUCGUCUAGGGUUUCCAGGGCUGUCUACUGUUCUCUAUGUGUAAAACGUAUUUAAGUGUUCCCCCAAUGCUGCACUAAUGUUGAAACAAAACAAAACAAAAACGAAGAAACCUUUGUCAAGUGGUCAGACAGACUGGAACUAGAGGAUUAUAGGUAAGAGAGAUAAAAUGAAGGGUUGAAAGCUAUAAUUUCUAUUUAUGUGGUGGCAACCAAAUCAGCUGUUGGAGUCAGGCAAUUUAAAGAUGUGGCUACUGGAGCUCAGAGUCUGGGAAGAAGACACUUCUGCGUCUGACAGUGAAUCAGGCUCCCAGUUUUGAAGAUGUGCUGUAGGUAGUUCUCGCUGAAUCCAUUUCCCAGUUGGUUUCUAUUCCCCGCCCCAUUCCUGUGUCCCCACACUUUCCACUUGAUUUUACCUCUUUGACAAUUCUAUAUUUUACUUUCCUUCCUCUCAUUCCCCUUUUCCCACCCCCUUUUUUUACUGUAGUUCUUGGCCUCUGACUACUGUUCCAUGCUGGAUGUCCCCAGAAAAUAGAGUAUGUUUAGAAAGGAGACAGUGCAUCUCAGAAGGGCCUCCCCAGUCCACUAGUCCAUUUUUUAAUGUGUUGUGCUCUAUGGGUGUCAGGAAUAUUUGUAGAUGAAGUAAUUUGUGGCAUGAAUUUUGAUAGAAGCAGGAUCACCAACAAAAUGAUAAAUGUAGGUACCUGUCUACCUUGCAUAAUAUUCACUAUGAUCUUGAGAAUUUCAAUGUAUAAUUUGUCUUUAUUCUUAUUUUUCAUUAGAAUUAACAGAAUCUCAGAGCUGGUAGAAAGUAUAGAAACUGUAUAUACAACUCUCAUAUUCAGAUGAAGAAAAUGAUGCACAAAAAAUCAACUGUCCUAAGCCAUUCAGCUUGUCUAUAAGUGCUGUUGGCUUAAUUAUAGUUUUGCAUAUAUUUAGGCAAAGAAAAUACUUUCUCAGAAACUGGUUAGGACUGUUUGAGAAGAAAUAUAAUCAUCAAAAUAUAUACACAGUAAAAUGUAACCGUCCAUCAUUCAACAUAGGCAAGAAUAUAUAUUGAAUUGCCUGAGUGUAUUAUUCGUAUAGCAAAACUUACUUGAAUUUCUAAUAAAUCUUCUGACCUCUGUAUAUGUAUAAAAUAUAUAAACCAACCAAAUUCUGUACAUAAAUAUAUUUUUGGAUACCAGUACAAUCCCUAUUUCACUUUUGUGUAUUCCAGUUAUUUAUUACUCACAGUUCUGUAGUUUUAACCAGAACAAAGGGAUUACCCAGAAGAAAAGAAGGUAAGCUAUUUCAUCAGUUUUGGUGGAAAUCAGAAGUUUUUUUUUCUAUUAUUAGCUUUGUAUUCUU